AAAACAUAAAAUCAAAUUAAACGCUUGGAGAACUGAAAUGGAAUGUUAAGACACAACCAGAGGGACUACCUGUAAACACUUUAAUAGCAUCACAAGAAUUCAUUCUGAAGUUCUUUCACUUCCAAUACUUAUCAUUUUCCCUUUAUGUUCUGGGACUUCUUAUAAGAUAAACAAUAAUAAAAAGUCUAAAAUAUUGAGCCAUCACCUUCUUGUUUAUACAGAAUUAUUUCAAAGUUGUUUGUUAUUUACUGCAUAGCUUCUUUUGCAUUACUAUAAAAAUAUUUUAACAUUAUAGCGCAAUAAAUAUUUGAUGUUUUUAUGUUCACUUGUGUUGUGUGUGCAGUAUAUGUGUGUUUGUGUGUGUGUGUGCCUACGUGUGCGUGUGUGAAGGAAGGCCAGAGCAAGUGGUUAUCACAUCUCUUUCUCUGUGAUUUUCCAUCUUUUUAGGGUAGGGGUAAGUGUGCACAGAAAAACCGUGAUCAUUUUACAGCAUUUUCUUUUAAUUUGAAAAUUUUGCUAGUAAAAUCUAAUUUUCUUCCUUUUCUCCUCCAUCCUCUCUUUUACACCCCACCUUGCUAUCUCUCAAAUUCUUGGCGUCUAUUUCCUUAACUGUUGUGGCAUAUACAUACAUAUAUAUCACUUAAAUGUAUCACUACAACUUACUGAGUCUAUUUAUAUGUAGAUUUUAGGGCCGGUUUUGAGAGUGGGUUUUUCAGUGAACCUGGAGCUUACUGAUUUAGCAAGAGAAACUAGUAAGUUGCAGAGAAACUUCCUAUUCCACAACCCUAGCACUGCCAUGGUGUGUGUUCAACACUGCAUGGGGCUUCUCACCUGGGUAGUUGUGGGUCAGUGCCUUCAUGGCUAGUGCUUUAUCAAGUGAACCAUUUCUUUCCCACAGUUUACAUCUUACAUUAUAGAAAGCAAAUGAAGAAAACCUGUGAAGAUGUCUCCCCUUAGUUAGUAUUCCAAUUAACUCCUGUUAGAUGGUGUGUGGUAAUUAAGAAACAGACAGAGAUCCAGGAAUAAAUCCUUAUCCUUUUUUGUAUUUGAAGGAAUGUAAAUAUUUUGGGGUAUUUUCUAUUUAUAAGUUUUUGACAUUUAAUUUUAAGUUAUAUUUUUUCAUUUUCAAUUUACAUGGAGUACUCAAAAAGGGAAAUUGUUUGAUUCAGAAUACCAACUUUCUGUAGUAGACACAAUUUACAUAUAAUUUGUUUUUAAAAAAAUGUUUUAUGGAGUAAACCCUGUGUCAAAAAAAACAUAAAUAUAUAAAAAACAACAACAAUAAAAAACCAAAAACCAACCCAUAAAUGUUUAGGCUUUAGGAUCUUAUAUUCUUGUCAUAAAGGUACUGAAAGAAAUUGUUUUUAACCUUAAAGAAUUAAUGUCUCAUAUGUAUAAUUCUUUGUUGAAAAUAAUGUCCUGACAGCCUUAUUGCGUGAGUAAGAGCAGGCCUCGCGCUGCCCUGCGAGGGCGUAUUUGAAUGAACACACAGCAUACCAUCCGUCAGCGGGUGCUGCAUAGUUCUGAGUGAGGCAGUGUGUGGACUUCCUUGCACAUUCCACACAGGAUAUACAGAAGGCAAACAAUGACUUAUUGACUGGAAGAUCUGAUAUUUUCAUCUUUAGUGCGCUGACAAACUACAUGCUGCCUUAAAAUAAUUCUUUGGUUUCUCACUUUGGUGGUUGAAGUAGUUGUCAGCAUCUUACCACACAAACAUUUAUUAUUUUAAAAGACAUUAACACUGCUGUCGCCUAAUUUCCCCUUAUUGCCAUUAAAAUAUUUCUAUGAGUGGAAAAGAGUUUUGUGUUGCUAACCCAAUGUAGUUUAUUUAUAUUAUGAGUUAAUUAUAGAUCUGUGUGUAAUUGUAUAAAACAAUGUGGAGUUAUCACAUAUUCCAGUGUCUUCUGAAACUGAGUAUCGCAACCAGGAUAUUGAUCUGUAACACUUCAUUCAUCCACUUUAUUUCAUCUGCUUUAUUAUGGCUGUGUUUGUGUGUUUAUUUGUUGUGCAGUUUCAUAUUCAAGAAGAUUAUGCUUCCACUGUCACAGUCAAUAUGCAGAAUGCUUUCAUAUUUCUAUUACUGCAAGAUAUGUUCUUGUCACUACUGCCACUUACCAUUUUGAUCAUCAGCAACCACCCAUCUGUUUUCCUUUUUCGUGAUUUCCUAAUAUAUAAUAAACAAUAUAUAAUAAAUAAUAAAUGGAAUGAGAUGGUAUAUGAAUUUUGGAUUUGGCUUUUUUCUCCUGCUAUAAUCCAUAGAAAUUUAUCUAGUUUUUACUGUGAACGAUGUUUUUUUUUCUUUUUUUUUUUUUUUGAUUGCUUAGUCUUCUUCCAUAGUAAGACAUAUGACACCAUCUGUCUAUCUUAUCUACCAGUUGAAAGAAAUGCAGGCUUUCUCCUGUGCAGGGAUAUUAAGAAAUACAGCUGCUAUGAAUUUUCAUUUUCAAGUUGUAGCAUGAACAUGAAUUUCAGUGACUCCGGGAUCAGUGUACCAGAAUACAGUUGCUGGAUGGCCUAGAGAAUUUUCUGUUUAAUGAAAAACCACCAAACUGUUUCCUCGAGAAACUGUCAUUUUUACAUUCCCACCAGUGACAAGUGACCCAUCGGAUUUCUCUGUGUCCUUGUCCUAUACUCGCUGUUGCGACUGCUUUUACUUUGUACAUGUAGUGUUAUCUAACUAUGACUUUCAGCCAUUCUAUAUGGAUAAUUAAAGGUGUUUAUUUUGUUCUAUGAGCUUACCUAACACUUGAGCAUCAUUUCUGUGAAAACUCUGUUUAUAAUUGUCUACCUGUUUCCAACUGGAUUUUCUUUCCUUUUAACACCGACUUUUAAACGUUGUCUUUUGAAAGUGUUUUCAGUGGUUUAGAUCAAAACUGAAUGACAAAUUCUCAUAAACUUAGAACAGAUACAUUCCCCCAGUCUACAACGUCUAUGUUCACUUUCAUAUCUAAACCCCAUAUUCCUGUGAGUGCCACCUGUCUCCUGAUACUGUGUGUGCUUGUGUGUUCUCACUCACAUUACCCCCUUCAUCUGAAUAACAUAACAUUUUCAUGUAUGGCCUAAGUAUUUUCUGUAUAAUUAUUCAUGUUAUCUUCUUCAUUUGCUCCAUUGGUUUUGUAGCUAGCAGUUUUUCAUAGUUAUGCUAGUAUGCUAGACACUAAGAAUAUCUGUUUGCAAACAUAUAAAACUUUGUUACUUUAGUAAGUCAAAAUUGGAACAACUAGUUGGAAAAUGAAAAAAAAAAUGUAUGUAUGUGUGUACUGCUUAAUACCAUAAAGUUGAUACUUUGUUUAAAAAAUAACAACCAUACAGUGUUCACAGUAUUUGUUAGGUCACCAGAUUAGUAUGCUUACUAUGGUAUACUAAUGAGUUAUUGUAUUGUAUUUUAUUUUGAUUAAAUAUUUUUCAUAGAAUUUUUAAGAAAUAUUAAAUCCUUCUGUUGUGUCAACAGUUGCUCUCCAAAUGAAUGUUCAACCAUACAUGUAGCAUUUUAUUCUCUCUUUUUUUAACUUUCGUG
rnacentral:lncRNA from 1 species